CAUAGCCAUCAUUGUAAAUCCAUAGCCAUCAUUGUAAAUCCAUAGCCAUCAUUGUAAAUCCAUAGCCAUCAUUGUAAAUCCAUAGCCAUCAUUGUAAAUCCAUAGCCAUUGUUUUCUUUUUCUAUGUAUAUUCCUACAACUCUCUACGACUAUGGGAACUCUUAUACGUCACACUGAUGGGUAACCCUUCACACUUAUCGCUAACACAAAAUGCUCACCAUUCAGCACAGCCAGAAAAGGUAAAUCUGAAGCCUAAUGCCAAAGGGUAUCCCUUAAUCCUAAAGCCUGUCCCCAAAUGGGAAACCCUUAACUCGUAAUUCUAAUCCAAAAGGGCAACCAUGAAACCAAACCGAGAAGGGUACCCCGUAACUCUUAUCCCUUAAUCCAGCAUGGAGCCCUUUACCCUUCCGUAAUGGCAUAACCCUUAACCCAAAGUGCUGACACUGAAGCGUAACCCUCGUGAGAAGCUGUUAACACAAACCCCAAGCCGGUAGCCUGAAUGCUUCCCCCUACCCCUUUUAAAAGGGUAACCUUGAGAGCUGCCCCAAACGCAGAACGCUUGACAUGUAACCCUUGAGCGCAAGCCAAGCUGGGAAGCCUUCCCCCUAAAGCGUAGCCCAAAAGGGGAACUCUCAGCUCUUAGCAAUCCCACUCACCGGUCAUACUUCACCAGAACCCCGAACGGGAUGAGGCUGAGCUUGUCUGCUGCCAGGGCUGCUCUGAGGCCCAGGGCAUGGCGAGCGGCUGCUUGGAGCACUACUCACAGCUGAGGUGCCUGGACCCAGCUGUCCUUGGGGAGGGCCUUUUGUCGUCACGGAAACGCACUGUGACAGCAUAAAGGCUGCAGGGGCGCAGCUGAUGUCAUUCCAAGCUUCCGCGAGUCGAAGCCUCCAGGCUGUUGUUUCAUCAGCUUUUGUGCUGUUUAUCGUCUCUUUUGCCAUUGGUUCGCUUUCCUUUGUUUCCUUGAUCCUUACUUGGUUUUCUUUGCUGUUCCUUUUGCUUUGCUUUCCUUAUGCUGCACGUGGAACAGCAGCAUACCCCAAUCCCGCUGCCAUUCAGGGUGAUGAUGGAGGGUGAAGAACAUGUCAGCGUAGGUGGCUUCCUCCCCUUUUCCCUCCCUCUGCAAAAACAACCUGAACUGCAGAAGAGUAUUGUAAUUCAAAGUGCCAUUGACAGGCCAUUUUUCACCACUUCCCAACUUGUAUUACAACCCCCACUGAUUACAAUACUUGAUUAAAGUUUUCUUGCUCACGG
ensembl:lncRNA